UACGUAGGGUGCAAGCGUUACUCGGAAUUACUGGGCGUAAAGCGUGCGCAGGCGGUCCGCUAAGACAGAUGUGAAAUCCCCGGGCUUAACCUGGGAACUGCAUUUGUGACUGGCGGGCUAGAGUAUGGCAGAGGGGGGUAGAAUUCCACGUGUAGCAGUGAAAUGCGUAGAGAUGUGGAGGAAUACCGAUGGCGAAGGCAGCCCCCUGGGCCAAUACUGACGCUCAUGCACGAAAGCGUGGGGAGCAAACAGG
rnacentral:rRNA from 1 species